rnacentral:rRNA from 1 species
CAGCCGCCACGGGAAUACGAAGGGUGCAAGCGUUAAUCGGAAUUACUGGGCGUAAAGCGUGCGUAGGCGGUGAGUUAAGUCUGCUGUGAAAUCCCCGGGCUCAACCUGGGAAUGGCAGUGGAUACUGGCUCGCUAGAGUGUGUCAGAGGAUGGUGGAAUUCCCGGUGUAGCGGCGAAAUGCGUAGAGAUCGGGAGGAACAUCAGUGGCGAAGGCGGCCAUCUGGGACAACACUGACGCUGAGGCACGAAAGCGUGGGGAGCAAACAGGAUUAGAGACCCCCGUAGUCCCUGUCUCUUAUAC